rnacentral:rRNA from 1 species
CACGUAGGCACCAAGCGUUGUCCGGAUUUAUUGGGCGUAAAGAGCUCGUAGGCGGUUCGGUAAGUCGGGUGUGAAAACUCUGGGCUCAACCCAGAGCCGCCACCUGAUACUGCUGUGACUAGAGUGCGGUAGGGGAGCGGGUAAUUCCUGGUGUAGCGGUGAAAUGCGCAGAUAUCAGGAGGAACACCAGUGGCGAAGGCGCCGCUCUGGGCCGUGACUGACGCUGAGGAGCGAAAGCGUGGGUAGCAAACAGG